rnacentral:rRNA from 1 species
UAAAUGAACUUAAAUUCAACUUAAAAUAUUUCUUAACAAACAAAGUAAAAAAUAAUAUUCUAAAGUUAAUUAAUAGAGGUUCAGCUCUAUUAAUAAAGGAUACAACCUAAAACAAUGAAUAAUGAUUAUAUUAAUAAAAGAAAUUAACUAUGUGGGCCUAAAAGCAGCAACCAAAAUAAAAGCGUUAAAGCUUAAUUUAAUAAAUCUUAUUAUAACAAUAAAAUAAUCUUAAUUCAUUAAAACUAUUAAGUCAAUCUAUUUAAAUAGAUGUGAUUAUACUAGAAUGAGUAAUAAGAAUAUAUUCUCUAAGUGCAAGUAUAAAUCAGAACGAAUAUUUCACUGAUAAAUAACGAACCUUUUGAGGGAAAAAUAGUAUUUACAAGAAAAAUCUAUUUGGCCCAUCGUUAACCCAACACAGGAGCACAUUAGAAAGAUUAAAAAUAUAGGAAGGAACUCGGCAAACACGAACUUCGCCUGUUUACCAAAAACAUCGCCUCUUGCAAUUAAAGUAUAAGAGGUCCUGCCUGCCCAGUGACACCAAGUUUAACGGCCGCGGUAUUAUGACCGUGCAAAGGUAGCGUAAUCACUUGUCUUUUAAAUAAAGACCAGUAUGAAUGGCAAGACGAAAGUUCAACUGUCUCCCUAAAUUAAUCAAUGAAAUUAAUCUUUCCGUGCAGAAGCGGAAAUAUAACUAUAAGACGAGAAGACCCUAUGGAGCUUUAAACAUAUAAUCAAUUGUAAAACAUAAAAUCCGAAAGAUUAAAUAUAAAAUAAAACAAUAUGAUUAAAAUUUUAGGUUGGGGCGACCACGGAGAAAAACAAAACCUCCGAGAUGAAGAGAAUAUCUUAAUUUAAGAACUACAGUUCUAAAAAAUAAAAUAUUUAACAUAAUUGAUCCAAUAUAUUGAUCAACGAACCAAGUUACCCUAGGGAUAACAGCGCAAUCCUCUCCAAGAGUCCCUAUCGACGAGUGGGUUUACGACCUCGAUGUUGGAUCAGGACACCCCAAUGGUGCAGCCGCUAUUARAGGUUCGUUUGUUCAACGAUUAAAGU